AAUUGUUCGCCAAAUAACUACGAGUGUAAACUUAAAAUUUAAAAGACUUGACGGUACUUCACAACAAUCUAGAGGAGCCUGUCUAAUAACCGAUACCCCACGAUUAACCCCACCCACCCUAGCCUUAACAGUCUAUAUACCGCCGUCGCCAGCUUACCUUGUGAAAGAAAUAAAGUGAGCAAAAUAGAUUUCCCCCCCCCUAACACGACAGGUCAAGGUGUAACCUAUGAGUGGGUAAAAGAUGGGCUACAUUUUCUAACACAGAAAACACGAACAAACUAUGAAACUAGAAACUGAAGGCGGAUUUAGUAGUAAGCUAAGAAUAGAAUACUCAGCUGAAAUCAGCGCAAUGAAGUGCGUACACACCGCCCGUCAUCCCUG
rnacentral:rRNA from 1 species